AUAACCAAGUCCAAGAACCAUACCAAACACAACCAGUCCGAAAAAUGGCACAGAAAUGGUAUCAAGAAACCCUGAUCACAAAGAUAUGAAUCUCUUAAGGGUGUGGACCCCAAGUUCCUGAAGAAUAUGCGCUUUGCCAAGAAGCACAUCAAGAAGGGCCUAAAGAAGAUGCAGGUCAACAAUGCCAAGGCCAUGAGUGCACAUGCCAAGGCUAUCAAGGCCCUCAUAAAGCCCAAGGAAGUUAAGCUCAAGAUCCCAAAGAGUGUCAGCAACAAGCUCGAUUGACUUGCCUACAUUGCCCACCUCAAGCUUGGGAAGUAGGCUCUUGCCCAUGUUGUCAAGGGGCUCGGGCAGUGCCAGCCAAAGGCCAAGGGUCAAACCAAGGCCCAGGCUGCAGCUCCAGCUUCAGUUCCAGCUCAGGCUCCCAAAGGUGCCCAAGCCCCUACAAAGACUUCAGAG
rnacentral:lncRNA from 1 species